AGUAAGAUGACCGAGAUAGGUGAUAAAUUGUAAAUUUAUUUACGGAAUAGAUUCCUUUUACUA
rnacentral:tRNA from 1 species